UCCAGUUGCUAAGCAACUCUCCCCAUUUACAACAGCCAAUCAGACUGCGCUUCCAGUAAUGGCUGCCUGAUCGCUCCUCCUCCUUGCUCUGCUCAGCUUUUGCAAGCAAGGCCUGAAUCUACCUGUACAUCGACCUUGUAAGGUUGGCAGAAGCUGGGGCUAACAGCGGAAGCUCACCUCGCUCCCCGGAUUCGAACGGCAGACCUUUCAGUCAGCAAGUUCAGCACCUCAGUGGUUUAACCCACUGCACCAUUAGGGGCUCCUAUUUGUACACAUAGAAAACCCUCAAUAAAAAUUAUAAAGAAAAAACAAAAAAACACAGUUUAAUAAGAUUGUAAAGAGAAAUAGGGGACAGAUGUUUUGAAAAGAUACAAGAUUUGUAUUUGGCAAAUGUGUCCUGAGAAUACUGAAUUUUGCAAAGGAGCCAGACCAAUGUGGUAUGUUUAUUGUUAAGAAGAUAAGAAUGAGGACAACCAGAUGGCUGAGCUACUCAGACCACAUUGGAACCAAAUCCUUACACAGAUCGGAAGGCAAAAGAAAAAGAAAAAGAAAAGAAAGAACAGUGAGGCUUGCUUUCUGCUUUUUACCCUGUCGUUGCUAGAACUUAUUUUGGAUUUAUUAGAGAUGGAGCAAUGUCCUUCUCCAGAAGAUUUACAGAAGUUUCUGGAAAAGAUAAGAUCUUUCAGAAAUGAUGCUAUGUUAAUAUUAAAAGAAGAACUGAAAGAAAAUUAAGCAAUGGCCAGAGAAUCUAUUUCAGUUUGCAAGGCAGUAGUGCGUGAAGCUGAGUUAAAUACAAGAGGAAGAAUACGUUAAAGGAAAUACCUUAAAAUAGGUUAAGAACUUCGGUAAUAAUAUUCCAAUGGAUUAACAGGAAGAUAUGAGGUUAAAGGAAUAGAGAUUAUAUUGUUACUAGCUGUGCCCGGCUACGCGUUGCUGUGGCGAAGUCAGGUGGUAUGGGAAAUAAAGUAUUGAGGAAUUGGUGGUAGUUAAGGUCAAGGGUAAAGGUUUUCCCCUUACAUUAAGUCCAUUAUAAAUGGGCUAUAUAGCUGUGUGGAAGGGCCUUGAGUCUACACUGCCAUAUAAUCCAGUUAAAAUCAGAUAAUCUGUAUUUUAUAGGCAGUGUGGAAGAGGCCUAAGUGAGGCCUAACUCUGCCUGUCCCCUGGGCUGAGUGGGUUGCUAGGAGACCAAGUGGGCGGAGCUUAGCCUUCUAACUGGCAGCAAUUGAAUAAAAACAAUUCUUCCUCUCCCUUUAAUUAGGACUUUAUUUUUCUUUUCUUUUUGUUGUAUGAACGUAGAGGCAUGGAUGACGGGUUGUGCUGCCAAGUUUAGUGUUUCUGGGAUGUGUAGUUUUGUUGUUUUGUCCUAGGCUGAAAUUUCAUUACCCUUUUAUAUAUAUAGAUGGUUUUAAAGAGAAAUGUUAUAAAAUGAAACUUUAUAAAAUGAUGUAGUGUUGAUAUGUUAGAUGGCUUUAUUAGAUGGCUCCUAUGAACUGACACAGGGCCUAAGAUCUGCAAGGGAAGCUUUCCUCUCGGUCCCACCUCUGUUUCAAGUGUGGCUGGUGGGAACAAGUUAUUGAUUUACAUGACUAUGUAUCUUACUGUAUUUUAUGUGUUUUUGCACCACUGAGUGCUUUUGUGAGCCCUCCCAAGUUGUUGGGGAUUGUGGAUGAUAGAUGGUUUUUAAGUGUGCCUGUGAGCCCAGAGACACCCUGCAGAAUGAUGCACCACUCAGCUUUGCAGAACAAAGUAACACAGGAACUUUUACUAAAUUUAAGAAAUCAACAGAACAAUGGUAUUUAGAAUAGUCCCUCUGAUUGCUUCCAGGAAUCAGCAGUCCUUUCUUUGUCCAUGAAUCUGCUUCAGUGAAGAUCAGCAACAAAUAAGGCCUCAAAAAUAGUCAGGCCUCUCUGAGUACAGUGCCAUCUUCUUUCCAGCCAGUACUCAGUAGAUUCACACACAGAGAGAGAAACCUGUUCAAACUGGUUCUCCAGCAGCAGGAUAGCAACAGUUACAAAUCAAUUCCCAGGUCCUUGCAAACUCAGCUAAUUGGCUUUAUGCAUUUGAUUUUCCAGUUAACACACAUAUAGCAAACCCUGACACGAUUCCCUUCAGGGAGAUGGUGGCAGGAUGCAAAUAAAGUUGUCUAUUAUUAUUAUUAUUAUUAUUAUUAUUAUUAUUAUUAUUAUUAUUAUUAUUAUUAUUAUUAGUGUGCAAUGAAUGUGAAUUGUAUUUUGUCUUAUAAUUCUGUUAUGACAUGGAGCAGAAUUGAGAAAACGUGUUAGGAUGGAAGAGAUUAAAUUGAUCAUUAUUGGAGUAGAUUUUCAGUGAUGAACAAAAACAUUUUGUUUAGAAUUAUGUUUGCAUUUCAGACAGCAUAUGCUUUUAUAACUAAUGUAUAUAGUUUAAGCAACGACAAAAAGGUACAUUUAUAUGAAAAUGCAUGUAUUUUGGAAAUGUGAGUAAGGGAUGUUUUAUUGAUUUUAAAGAGUAAACUUAAAUCUGAACUGGAGCCUUUUUUUUGGGGGGGGGGGAAUAAUGGAUGUACAGUUGGGAAAGAGAUGGAAGAUAGAUUAUAGUGUACAAAUAUGAUAGCAAGAUUUUUAUGUGUAAUGAUGGAAGCCUUAUCCAAACUGGAGAAAUGGUCAUCAAUGUCAACAUGUUUUGGUUGAAAUAAAUUGUUUUGGUUUGCUUAGAGACUUUUUAUAGACAUUUUAUAAUAAAAAAGAAAAUAGUGGUUUUAGGCUGAAUAAGUGAUUUAAAGAAGAGAACAUGCUGUAAUGUUUAGAGAGAAUAACUUUUUGUACAUAUAAUUGUUGAAAGGAAGACUGGAAAUUUUCUCUUAAUUUUUCUUUUUCUCUAUUUUUUCCAAUUUCUGUAACUGUUAAUGUUUUUUAUUCUCAAUAAAAAAUGAAGAGUUCCAUAAUAAAUCUGAGAAAACAUUCAGGGAAUAUAGAAGGCUCCAUGGGAAGGAGAGCAGACAUGGUGUAGUGGUUUGAGCACUGGAAUAAUGACUCUGGAGGUAAAGGUAAAGAUUUCACCUUGAGAUUAAGUCUAGUCGUGUCUGACUCUGGGGGUUGGUGCUCAUCUCCAUUUCUAAGCCGAGGAGCCGGCAUUGUCCAUAGAUGCCUCCAAGGUCAUGUGGCUGGCAUGACUGCAUAGUCACGUUACCUUCCCGCAUAAGCAGUAUCUAUUCAUCUACUCACAUUGUUUUCGAACUGCUAGGUUGAUAGAAGCUGGGGCUAACAGUAGGAGCUCACCCCGCUCACCGGAUUUAAACCACCGACCUUUCAGUCAGCAAGUUCAGCGGCUCAGCAAUUUACCCCACUGCGCCACUGGGGGCCAUGUUGACUCUGGAGAACAGGCAUCAAAUCUGCACUCAGCCAUGGAAACCUACUGGGUGACCUUAGGAAAGUCACACUCUCUCAGCUUCAAAGGAAGGUAAAGACACACACUCCCAAACAACUCUUCUGAUAGGGUUGUCACAAGUCAGAAAUGUCUUAAAAGGCACACAAGACAACAAAUAGGAAGGGCUAAUUGGCGAUGGCAGUCUCCCAAUUCAGCCAGCAGAAUUUCUCAUCGAGAGCAAAAGCCUCCUGUUAAUGAAUGGAGCUCUUCCAUAUACAGGAGGAUUUUGUGAGAUACCACCUAAUAUUUCUGUAGCAAAAAAUACUUUGGUUUUAGAUUAUUCACACAGAAUGUAUCAUAGCAGGCAUCAUCUCAUUUGAGGCUUUUGUUGUUUGCAUAACAAAGCAUGUGUCUUUUAUGUUAUUGUUUGCUGUCUGCAGUUUUUUAUAAGCACUUGUUAUAUAAACAGCAUCUACCUGGUUAAUUGACUUUUUAAGUCAAUCAAUCAUAGAGUUGGAAGAGGCCCCAAGGGCCACCCAGUCCAACCCCCUGCCACGCAGAAACACACCAUCAAAGCACUCCUGACAGAUGGUACUUUUAAUAGAUUAACCCCACUGAUUCAUCUCGGAAGCCCUAAUUAAAAAAAGAAUCCAACACUGGGCUUGAUGCCAGCUGUGCUUUUAUAUCCAUCUACAAUAUCCAGGACAUAAUAGGGCAAAUCGUAUUAUUUGUGUUCAUUUGAAGUAUUCCCUCUUUAUUGAGCAGCUUUCUUCAGAAGCAAAUUGAAAUCCAUGUGAGAGGUGCAUUUCCCUAUUGCAUCAACAGAGGAAAAUUGAAUGAGACCUGAGAAUACAAGCUUAUCAACCAUGAUUUUAAAGGCCAAGAGCUAUACCAUUUUUGUACAGCAUUAAAAUACAGAAUCAAUACGGACAUAAUACAGUACUGGAUGGCUGCUUUUCCACAACAAAAUGAAAAAUUUAUCAGAAACACUUUUAUAACACUCGUCCGAAAACUCAGACACAAACAUCAAGGAAAAAGACAAUGAAUGAGAAGUCAGCAAAAAAAAAUAUAUUGUUAUAUGUAUAUAUAUAUGCACUAGUAGCUAGAGAAGCAAUAUAACAUUUCACAUCUCAGCUGGAAAUUAUAAUUGUAUCAUCAUUCAUUACCAUCAAUACCACCAUAUUUUUAUUCCACAAAGUUUAGGUUUCUGUGGUUUCUAGUUUGCAUAAAAAUAUAGUAUACCAAUAACUUAUUUACUGGCUAAAAACAUUUUUAGUUGCUAUUUCUUUAAAGGUGCCUCACAGUAUUUUGUUUUGUAAAAGUGGGACAAAUUGGCUUUACAAAUACAUAAGAAUAGUUUUAAGGACAGGCUGUAAAGGAUACAAGAAUAACACUAUGAUAAAGUAACCAUCAACAGUGCCAUAACUUCCAUGCUUGCAGUGAAGUAGUUGAAGGACAUGCCAGUUCUACAGAAGAAUUUAUAUAAUGGAGUUUACCUGAAGGAUUUCUCACCAAAUCCAGAAUGCAUUAAUUGUUUUUCAAGUCCCAUUGAGUCACUUUAAAAAAAUCUUCUAAGCUUAGUUGCAAAGCCAAUAGUAAAUCCAUGAGAUAUAGAUUCAGUGGUUGUAAGUACAUAAAUAAUUUUUCCCUAUUGUACAAACACUCUUGGCUUUAUGUGUCUGCACUUUUGACAGUGGAGUGACUCUGAAUAAUAAUGCAUCUGCAAAGCAAAGCUGGACCAGAGAUAGUUACUGAGUAAAAAAGAAGCCUCUCUUUUGGACCUCCCCUAAAAGUCUGUUAACAUUCUCUCAUUCUCAUGUGCUUUGUGAUUUUACAAACCAUUUUAAGAUUAACCGGAUUUGAUUUGCGUCUUCUAGAUAGCUUGGGUUUACCAGGUUUUUCUAUGUUCAAUGUGUUGUCAAAGGCUUUCAUGGCAGGAAACACAGGGUUGUUGUGUGUUUUCCAGGC